rnacentral:lncRNA from 10 species
GAGCAAGAGAAGUUGCAGCACCAUUUAUUACUUGCACGCUAUCACAGAACCUUUUUUCUCAAUUAACUAGAAGCAAGUAGCUUGUUCCCACCCACACUCAAAGGGAGGGGAAUUAGACUCCACCUCUUGAAGAGAGGAGUUUCAAAAAUUUGUGAACUUAUUUUAAAACUAGCACAAAGUGUAAAAGGAAUUGCUGCCUGACUCAAUAAAACAGAAUUUCCCGAUGUACCAAAUGCAAAGCCAUGUGCUUUCAUAAAAGCAAUAAUCUGGGUGCAUGUGCAGAAGUAGUCGACAAGAAAGUGAUGGUUUUAGAAGGCUUUAGUUAUUAUACGAGUAGAGAGAAGAGUAUUUGUGCUUUUGAGGUCAGGGAAGAUUUGAUAGAGAGGUGGCAUUUCAACCAGCUGCUCACUGAUUCUGCUGCAGAACCAAGGCUGAGAACUCUACAAAUACAAUAAGACUGCAGUAAAAGGAUCAAUUCAUUUUCAUAUCUGGAAAUCAUGAGAGGCUUCAUGGAGGAGAUAAUAUUUGAGCUGAGCUUGAAAAAUGAGCAGAAUUUUGAUAGAGUACAUCUCUGACUGAGGGAAGAGCAUAAGCAAGGAUCCCCAGUGCACGCCUGUCCCAUUCUUCAAGUAGUCCCAGCCCACUUCCUUUGGAGUAAGACACCUCUUCCAUGCAACAUUGCAAGAUCAAGCACCCUGCCCCUGCUGGACAUCGAUCAGGUGGGCACAUGGCUCAAGACAAGCCAAUCAGAUACCACGUCCUUGGGUUGGAGCCCCUUCUCUACUCACGUUGGACAUAGAAUCACUUUUCCAAUCAGGUGAAGAAUGAAGGAUGCCCUGGAAUGAAUUUGUGAAGGGGUGUGUGUGUGUGUGUGUGUGUGUGUGUGUGUGUGUGUGAGAGAGAGAGAGAGGAGACAGAGAGAGAGAAAGUGUGUAUGUGCAUGGUGGGGAGUUCCAGGUAGACAGAACUGUGAAUGUAAAGCCUCUAUUUUUGAGUCCACAGAAAGCAUCUAUUUCAUGAGUAUUAUUCUACAUAAUACAUUGAACACAUUGUGUUAACUCAUUAAGGCAAAGUAAAAUUGCAAAUUUUGUUCUUUAAAAAAAUUAUGAACUAAUAAACUUCGUUAAAAUCUUUUCUCUGCACCUAUCAGAAUUUGUAGGAGGCAAGUGCACGCAGUCAC